rnacentral:rRNA from 1 species
AGGAUCAUUAUUGAACUAAACCUGAUGGGUUGUUGCUGGUUCUCCAGGGAGCAUGUGCACACCUGUCAUCUUUAUAUCUCCACCUGUGCACCUUUUGUAGAUCUGAAUAGCUUUCUGAAUGCCUAGCAUUUAGGUUUGAAGAUUGACUUUUCUGUCUUUCUUUACAUUUUCAGGUCUAUGUUUCUCCAUAUACCCCAAUGUAUGUUAUAGAAUGUAGUAAAUGGGCCUUUGUGCCUAUAAACUUAUACAACUUUCAGCAACGGAUCUCUUGGUUCUCGCAUCGAUGAAGAACGCAGCGAAAUGCGAUAAGUAAUGUGAAUUGCAGAAUUCAGUGAAUCAUCGAAUCUUUGAACGCACCUUGCGCUCCUUGGUAUUCCGAGGAGCAUGCCUGUUUGAGUGUCAUUAAUAUAUCAACCUCUUCAGCUUUGCUUGUCGAGUGUUGGAUGUGGGGGGGUAUUCUUUUUUUGCUGGUCUCUCCUUGAGGUCAGCUCCCCUAAAAUACAUUAGCGGGACAAUUUGUUGACCGUUCAUUGGUGUGAUAAAACUAUCUACGCUAUUGACGUGAAGCAGGUUCAGCUUCUAAUGGUCCAUUGACUUGGACAAAUAUUUCAUUAAUGUGACCUCAAAUCAGGUAGGACUACCCGCUGAACUUAAGCAUAUCAAUAAGCGGAGGAAAAGAAACUAACAAGGAUUCCCCUAGUAACUGCGAGUGAAGCGGGAAAAGCUCAAAUUUAAAAUCUGG